rnacentral:lncRNA from 1 species
CGGGAUUGAAAAGGACUGGGCUCUGUCACCUGAAUGAGACGCCCGCCUCUCCCGACCCGUAUUUAAUAGCAACAACAACAACACAGCCACGUGGUCUAAAAAUAAUGUAAUACAUUUUCAUCCCGUGCCGUAACGGGACAUUACGUGUGUAUUGCACAUGCGUGUCGGGAGGAAGGAGCACACGGUCCAGUUUCCCCCCCCUCUGUCUUAGGGGUAAGAAGGAUCUUUCUUCUACUUUCUUUGCUUUCGAGAGACUUAAGUGACCGCGCACCGCAGCCUAGUUUGGGGGCUACUCAGGGGUUAAAAUCAAAGCGAAGGGCCCUGUAUACUUGGAACUGUCGCGCUCAGAGUCAAAGUGGGAAAAGAGCCUUGGGCAGAAGGAAAUUACAGCGGGCUUGCGUGACCUUUCCGAGAGUGACCCGGGUCUCCUCGGUCAAGACGUCCUUUCCNGACAUUCUUUAG